CGCGUAGGCGGGCGUCUAAGUCAGGGGUGAAAUCCCGAGGCUCAACCUCGGAAUUGCCUUUGAUACUGGAUGUCUCGAGACCGGAAGAGGUGAGUGGAACUGCGAGUGUAGAGGUGAAAUUCGUAGAUAUUCGCAAGAACACCAGUGGCGAAGGCGGCUCACCGGUCCGGUUCUGACGCUGAGGCGCGAAAGCGUGGGGAGCAAACA
rnacentral:rRNA from 1 species